CUUGUUUCAUGUGCUUCAAAUUUAUCAGCCAUAGUGCUGUGGUUAAAGCAGAGAAUGUUUGUCAGAGACAGAUAGUGUAGGAGGCCAAUGUAUCACUGUCAAUAAUGCUGAAUGUCUACACAAACCACAAAAUUAAAUACCUUGGAAUAACAUUACAAAGUGCUAUGUUAGCAUAGGCAUCAAUUGAACUUAGAGGCAUCCCAGAGGGGGUUCAUUUGCAUAGUAUUUACAUUGCCACUCUUGUCAAUUAGCUCAAACAUAAGCCACCUCAGUAGACACGUAUGAGGCCAAUCUGAAAGGAAAUAUGUCAGUUUAUUUUAGCUUCCAUAAUCGGAGGCCCACAAACAGUGUCGCAUACACAGCAAAAAGUAGAAAGCUCAAGCGCAAGCUUAGUAUCUUGAGUGUCUUAAAUAUUUGAGGAUAUUUUUUUUCCAACUAUUACUUUAUUUAUAUUACUAUGCUUAAGUUACAUGGAAAAGACAACCAAGCAGUUCUGCCCCAUUUCAGGAAAAGUUUCCAAUCAACACCGAUUAUAUGGUGACAAAUAACUAGGAAUGGUGACGUCUGUGGGUCAAGACUGACAAGGAAGGAUGGGCUCUGGUGCCACAGUUCAUCUCUACCUAGAGAACAAGAUUUUGGGGAUGAAGAAGUAUAGUUGAAAGAAAAGCUUUUACAGUGAAGCUUACCAAGCACAAAUUAUCCUACAUAUUUUUUUUUCCUCAGAAAAAAAAAUCAAUUAGAAAAUUUAAGUCAGCAAAGAUGAAAACAGUAAGCCUGAUAGAAAUUUUGGACCUGUUUGACUGCUACACCAAGAAGAGCAACCGCAAUAAUCAAGGUGUUAUAUUUUUGCAUCGAUCAGAAGCAGAAUCGAAUCUACUAUCUUGUGAAUUUCUAAUCUCAAAAUAUUAACUCAUCACCCUGGCACUUCCUUUUGUUUCUUCUCUGUAUGUUUGGAAAGGUAUUAAUGGACAAUAAGAAAAAUAAAAGAGUGACAAGUAAAAUUAGAAGAACCA
rnacentral:lncRNA from 12 species